CCACUCUUAUAAUUAUUCAUCCACCAACCAACCAACUCCCUGUUUUCACAAAUCUUUUCUUUCUAUUGACAAUCCGGUGGAUUUGCAGAUAGGGCAAGUGUUCUUCACAACCAACCACUUCUUUACGCAUUCUGCAUGAUAUUCGUGCCCGCAAUCAAGAGUUCCUAUAGUUUCUUGCUUGUUGUAGUCAGUCUGGCAUAUGACACAGAAAUCAGCUUCGUGAUCCAAACAUGCAGCAGUUUCCAGGGUGCAAGGAAUAACGGGGGGCGAAAAUGAUCUUGUUUUCAAGCGGUUAACGAUUAUUUCAUCUGACAAUCCAGUUGUUACAUUGCCAAUCUGCUCCCCCAGUGCAAGAAGCUCCUCGUAGGACAUGUGAUCUACGUCUAAACGCAUAUCUCUGUGCUGAUCAAUGGGAUUGUUAACUUCAUGGUAGCCCGAAACAUCCAGCAUUGCCACUCCGUCUUCUGGCAGAACUCUCAUGUUAGGAAGGUUCUGAUGUCUAGUAUUUCUUUCAAGCACGAUAGCCCUUCGAUGAGGUCGAUACAACCCAAAGCCAGUUGGAAGGGAGGGCAUAUAUCUGGGUCCUGCCUCUACAACGCCUUGCAUUAGGUUCGUGGUGAUAUUGGACGAAUUAUUUGGUAGGUGUCUGUGUGAGGAUGAUGCUGUCAUUUGCGGAGGGAAGGAGAUAGGCUGGCCUCUCAUUCCUUGAAUAUUAGGUGGCAGAUGAUGAAGUCCUGGGAGCCCUUGAGGAAUGGGUGGAUGCGGAAAACUAGUCAAACCUCCAUUGCUGGAUGUCAUAUGAUAACCUCGCAAACCCAUGUUUCCAGCAUCUACGCAACCCCCAAUGCCACCAGGUACAUAGGGUAAAGGAGCAGCCUGAUUCCAGGCCCAAGUUUGAGUCUCACUACCAUUGCUGUUGAACUGCUGAUCCAGCCAAGGGUUGCCAGGCAACUGAUGGGUCUGACUUAUAUAGUUUCCUUGAAAUAAAUGAUUGUGGUUAUGUCGUACAAUAUUUUCUGGACCACUAGCACCAGAUCUGUUACUCAUACUUCUCAGUGCUCCAUCUUCAAUGUAUGAUGAUGAAUUGCCUCCAUAAUCUGAUGGUGUAAAUGAUGCAGCAUCCAUUGGAACAUCAGAUUCAUGUGCCCUUGCAAUCAUUGGAGCAACAGAAGAACUGGAACCUGCCAAAGCAUGAUGAUAUUGAAGAUUUGCAGGAAUUCCUUCAGCAUUCUUUCUCUUAUAUGAGCCUCUGACAUCGUCCAUAUAAUGAUUGUUCCUUCCGUAAUCUGAAUUCAUUCCAAAGAUGUUGUGAGAACUUGUAUGAAGCCG
rnacentral:misc_RNA from 1 species